AAGCUUAGAGGUUGAAAAGUAUCCGCCUCCAACGCGCCGUCCUUGUGACGGGCCGAGAAAUGUGGGCGACCGCGGGUCCCGCCUAAGCUU
rnacentral:ncRNA from 1 species